UGUAUCAGGUUACCAUUCCGCGGCAUCAUGUGAGAGAGUGUGUGACAGCUAAUGUUCCCUGGCACCUCUUCCUAGCAUGGCCUUUCUGCAACCCAUGGUGCUUAAGGAAAUGGCUGAGUAGUUUUGUUCUAGUAACCUGCUGGGUAACAGGGAACAGGGAUGUGAUAGGAGAUGCCCCUCUGACCGCCACUGUAAAUUGGGCCAGAGAUCAGAAACAGAAAGACAAGUCCCGUGUGACUGGCUGCUGUCCUGACCUUUACCUUGUACAUAACUCAUGCCGAAAUGCCCUUCUUGGAACAAAGACUGUCAAGAGAGCUGGGAAGGCAUGGGCUUCCUGGUUUCUAGUCUCCGCUUCCACCGGGUUCCCUAGAAGGAACUGUAGGGUGCUUUUCACUUCCCUGCUGCCUGGAACACCCUGGGCUGCAAGACACGGGUUGCUGGGAGUGUAGGACAUGGAAUGCCUGCAGUCAUCUGCAGCCUGUCCCUUGGUCAUCCCAGGGGAGGGGAAGCAAGUGAGAUCUAGUCGGAUCUACUUGUAGCUACUGAUCUAAUCACUGUGGCUCUUGGCCACUUGGCUUAUAGCUUUGGCAGUCAGCAAACAGUGCGAGCUUCAUCCGGAUGAAAUGUCUUCCUUACAGAAGUGUCGUGACCAGGCAGGGACAUGUCAUACCUUGGAUGACAAAGCGUCCCAAGAAAUGAAGAUAAAAAUUCCCCUCUAAUCAUGAAUUAUAUAUUUUCAUCUAAAUGAAGUCCACAAAUCCCACUUCAUAGUGCUGGGUUUUUUACUAGUUAUAAGACCUUCAUGGAGUUUGUGAGCCCUGGACUGAGGGUUAGAACAGGUGGCUCUAUUGCCCAGAGUCCUGAAUGACUGGGCCUGCCUACCUGUGGCAGGCUAGUAACAGCCAGGACUCUGCAGUGGAUACUUGGAAAGGACUAAGGGUCAGAUACCCAGCAGAGCUGAAACAGGAAAUGCCAGCUGGAGACUGUGGUCACCAGAUCCACGGGAGGCUGCAACCCUGAAUAGCUAGAGGCUUAAGGGUACUUCCUGACCUACUGGGGGUAAAACAUUAAAGUGGAAAAUGAGCAGGAGAGAUUCUCAAACACUGGAAAGAGCAGCUGCAAGACUUGAUUCGAUGAGGACAGAUAAUUUCUUAAAAGACAAUGGAGGCCAUAGUCAACCAGUAUCAAGACAGAGAGAAUGAGAGUUGAUGGUCAUUGGAAGGAGAGCCAGCUGGGGAUCCAGUACAGUGACCUUGAAAGCUUCCUUCUCCAUCUCUUCUAUAUAACUUGAGACAAAUCCCCAGACUUCCCCAACCCCCUUUUGCUCUUUGGAGGAGAGUAACGCUAACUUUGUUACCUACUUCACAGGAGCCAAGUUACUGUGUGAAGGCUUGUGGUGAAAUUUGAGUGUAUUAUACAAAUGGAAAGUAUUACUGCCCAAAGGAAUGGAAAACUUGGUCAGUUCACUUUUGGAUGGCCAUACUUGAUAGGUGGAGACUACCACAUUGUUAGGGUUGCUGGCCACAUGGCUAGGAAGGGUAAGUAUAAAACUAAAACAGGAAAUAGUCAUUCCUGCCCUGCAACAAAAUGGAAAUUGGCCUGGACUGCUGUAUGCUGCUGUUGGUUACAUCAUUAAGAUUUUGUAGCUGGGGUGAGCGGUGGGCUUAGACACACCCACGACCCCUGAAGCAGCUGGUCUUUUUAGCCCAGUGUCAUUAAAUGGUUUGGCAACAAUGGAACUAUUGAUUUAUACCCACAAAAUCCCACAAGGGUACCUGUUAAAUUCCAAUGACCUUCGUCUGGUAUAAAAUUCAGUCAAAUAAAAAUAAUGAUUCAUCCCCGGCAAAAUGGCAAGGUUUCAGCUUUAGAAGCCAAAGAUCUACUCCUACCCUAAGGGAUAAUAUAUUAACACAAGACUCACAGGAUUAAAAUAGAUUUCACUCAAGACCCUGUGGUUCUGUCUCCUGCCUAGAUUAAACCCUUCAGAGGGAGUCCAUUGUUGGUUUAUGGUUUGAUUGGCUCUGGAGCUACUGGCAGGCAUGUUGUAGCGCUAGGACUUCUGGGAGAGUUUGCUGAUCUCUCUCCAGUGGUUGCCUUUGUUUACUCUUGUCUACAGGAGGGAGCCCAGUUCCUCUACUUGUUCAGCAGGAACAGCUUGGGGAUCUUGAAUCCUAGGCAUAUAUAUUUCUUUCCAACAUGUCUGUAGCCCACCUGGAUUCAAUGCUGUCUCAGAGCUGUGCGUGUCCUGGAAGUAUGGUGAUAUUUUUGUUUGUGCUUUAAUAAAUAAAUCUUGCCUGAAGAGCAGAGAAGCAGAGGAGCCACUGGAGAGACUUCUUACCUCUACUGAAUCCUCAGCCUGAAAAGGCCUAGGUCCUGUCUCCACCCCGCCUUAUCACUUCCUCUCUCCUCCCAGCCAUAUCACUUCCUGUUUCCUCCUCUCAAGUGCUGGGAUUAAAGAUGUGUGCCACCACUGCCUGGCUAGCUCUGAACUCUGAUCUCCAGGCAAGCUUUACUUGUGAGAGCACAAACAAAAUAUCACCACAUGGAAGCUCUUGAGAGGUUAUUUCUUCCUUUUGCCCUUGAUUAUAUUCAUGCAUCUGUAUCUAUACACAGGACUCCUCCGGCAGCCACUUUUUCCAAUACUCUUGACCUCCCAUCCUCUCUGUUAUGACACAUUUGACUUUAGAUGGGAAAACACUUGUCCACAUCAAAUAAAAUAAAUCCUAAAAACACAAAAGAGACAUAUCAAAAGUAGAAUAACUGAACAGUCUAUCAUUAGAAGUGUUGAUAGACACAGCCAAUGGUGUGCAAAGAGGUAUUUAAAUCUAUAAUCUUAAAUUUA